GUCUACCGACUCUGCGCAGGCCUCCCACUCCCACACGGUGCUCAUUAAUGACGCGGCAAUUAAGCAGAAACUCAGUGUUGGCUACUAAUUCAAGAUCUCCCCUGAGACUGCCAGCCUGUUCUCGGCCAUAGUCUUCAAUGACAUGGAGUUAUCAAUUGGACAGCGGCACGAUUUGGCCGAGAUCCAUAGCCGCUUGCGGCAGGUAAAGCAAUCCUUUGAAGACACCGCCAGAGUCUUGCCAUUCCGCAGGAAUAUACAUAACGUGGUCUACGACAUGGAUAUCUUUGUCAAUCCAAGAACGAAAUGAUGCAAGGCAAUUAACAGAAACUAUCACUAAUAGACAGAUUAGACAUUUAGGAUUUUUGUUGUCUUUGCAAGUAGAACGAUUGACGAGACCUAAAUUAUAUUAGACAUAAUAUAUAAUUGUACAUUAUAAAUUAUAAAUUCGAAAAUGUCUCAUCAAUAAGUGCUUGAGGGUGAAUGAGAACUGGAAGCCAAGUCCAUCAAAAUUUGGCGACUUCUUUUCAACGACCACAGCACGAUUGCUAUACACGUCAAAGUCAUCGGUCAUGGUGAAUCCACAGAGUGUUUGCCCCAGUUCCUCGCUUGCAUCUGGCAUAACCUUCAAGAACUUAAUAUUAUCCAGUUUACAAUUGGUCUCCAACCCCAUGUUAAAGUCCGUGAAGGCGAUCCUCAGGAUCUGUACAUAUAAUGCUGGACAGCUCUUUAAAUAUCGCUGUUCAAUUGGAUAUUUCAAAUAUACAAACAUAUAUUUUCAUACAGGAUAGCUAAUAAAAAAAAAACACCCAAAAGUGUUCGUGCCGUAAGAUAAAUAAACCUAUUAAAUUGCUUCGCAUGGUAAACAUACAUAUCUGUAACAUCAGAUUCAUUCACCUGCCGCGUACCCUCAUUGUAGUAACCCACGCACUUGGGGCACUUCUUCAGAAACUCUGCUGGACAAAGGGGAGUGCGGGAGGCGAAAUAGCAGCGCACGCUUCUCAGAAUAUCGGGCAAUGCCUCCGAGACUUCUUUGUGGUCCAAGCUCGCAUGGAGUUUCAGUGUUUGUCGAAUGAUCUGUUAGAGCACCGAUUCCGUGGGUAGGUGGUACUUCAGCCAAAACUCCUUUUUGGUGCUUUCCACAAAGGUCUGCGUCAUUCGGAGCAUCAGCUUGUACAUGUUUGGCUUCCAGUGCUCGGCCAUACUGGUGAUUAGAUCCUCGAAGCUCUCAGCGCUUCAGAUGUUAGCAAUGAUAACUUCUCCGUAGUCGGCCAAUUUGAUGUCCUGACCAUUAAUGUUGAUUGAACGGAUCUGCAGCAGAUUUGGUGGCACCUUAGUAGGUUCAGCGGGUAGUUUCGGUUCACCCGAAAUGCGGCCACCAACUCCACUAGUUUUCAAUAGUUUUUUGAUCUCCUUUUUUGUGGGUACCCCAGUGACGCUGCGUAGGAGGUCCAGCCUGCCUUGAGUGGACGACUCCAUGGCCUUGGCUUCCUUGAAGAUCUUUUUAAAGGUGUUCCUGCAAAAACAAAGUCAUUAGUCUGGCAGGUCUUCAUGGAUAGUACCUUACUGUACGUAGCUGCUUAGGCUUGUGCGAUAAGUGGCUUUGUUGACCAUUUCA
rnacentral:lncRNA from 1 species